UCAACCCUCAAGCCCGGCUUGUUGUUGGGCUCGGUGAGGUCAUCCUCACCAGCCUCAAAGAUAAUGACGGUGCCUGGAGGACACUCGGUACAAUGAGCUUUCUAAAGCACGUACUGAAGUGGACUUUGAGGCCCGGUCUCUUUUAACUAUUUACAA
rnacentral:misc_RNA from 1 species